UAGUUGCUUUUGUUUCCCUUGUCAAUCUUCGUUAGGCGCGGUAGAGGAGCGAAGGAAUCGCUGAUUAUUGGCGCUCGCUCGCAACGCGCGAGCGGGAUCGCGUUGUACUGUAACCCAGGGGUUCUCAAGCCGCCUGAAGUUGGCCGUGUCGGGUGCCGUACUCGUCGCUUUUUCUCGUCUCUCGGGAUUUUUUUAAGGUUCGCCAUGGGGAGAAGGAACAACCGAUCGUGCGGAUCGUGCAAAUGUGAGGGGCGAACAACUUAACCGGAGCUGGCGGUCUCCUUUUCCACUGGCGGGCUUGGCUGCUCUCCUGUCUUUGGUUCCUGUCCAGCAAGAGCUGCUUUGUUCUGCCUCACUAUCUCCGCACGCCUCUCCUUUUGUAACAAGCAAUUAUUAUUUUCAUAUAAAUAAACUUAUGUUUUGUUCUUUUAUCACACACUCAAGCAAUCAACUGUUACGACUAAUCAUUACUGCAGCUAUAGCAACACAUGACACGACUAGUUAAGCAUCACGAUACUAUUUUUUAUGUUAUACUAAAAUUUGUUGAGGUUAAAACUUUGUGCAAUAUCUAAAACAGAGCACAUGCUUCGAUGCAAAAUUAAAUGAUAACGAAUAAAAUUGAAAUAAAUUAUCCGCAAA